rnacentral:rRNA from 1 species
UACGGAGGGGGCUAGCGUUGUUCGGAAUUACUGGGCGUAAAGCGCACGUAGGCGGCUUUGUAAGUUAGAGGUGAAAGCCCGGGGCUCAACUCCGGAACUGCCUUUAAGACUGCAUCGCUAGAAUUGUGGAGAGGUAAGUGGAAUUCCGAGUGUAGAGGUGAAAUUCGUAGAUAUUAGGAAGAACACCGGUGGCGAAGGCGGCCCACUGGAUCGGUACUGACGCUGAGGAGCGAAAGCGUGGGGAGCGAACAGG